UACAGAGGUCCCAAGCGUUGUUCGGAUUCACUGGGCGUAAAGGGUGCGUAGGUGGUGAGGUAAGUCGGAUGUGAAAUCUCCAAGCUCAACUUGGAAAUGGCAUUGGAAACUACCUUGCUCGAGGAAUGGAGGGGGGACUGGAAUUCUCGGUGUAGCAGUGAAAUGCGUGGAUAUCGAGAAGAACACUUAGGGCGAAGGCAAGACUCUGGACAAAUGCUGACGCUCAUGCACGAAGGCUAGGGUAGCGAACGGG
rnacentral:rRNA from 1 species